rnacentral:rRNA from 1 species
AGAGUUUGAUCCUGGCUCAGAUUGAACGCUGGCGGCAUGCCUUACACAUGCAAGUCGAACGCGAAAGCGGAGCAAUCCGCAAGUAGAGUGGCGAACGGGUGAGUAAUACAUCGGAACAUUUCCAGUAGCGGGGGAUAACCUGUCGAAAGAUAGGCUAAUACCGCAUACGCCCCACGGGGGAAAGCGGAGGACUCUUGGGCAACUGAGGGCUUCGCACUAUUGGAGUGGCCGAUGUCGGAUUAGCUAGUUGGCGGGGUAAAAGCCCACCAAGGCUACGAUCCGUAGCUGGUCUGAGAGGACGAUCAGCCACACUGGAACUGAGACACGGUCCAGACUCCUACGGGAGGCAGCAGUGGGGAAUUUUGGACAAUGGGCGCAAGCCUGAUCCAGCCAUGCCGCGUGAGUGAAGAAGGCCUUCGGGUUGUAAAGCUCUUUCGGUGGGGACGAAAAGGUUCGUGCUAAUACCACGGACUAAUGACGGUACCCGGAGAAGAAGCACCGGCUAACUACGUGCCAGCAGCCGCGGUAAUACGUAGGGUGCAGGCGUUAAUCGGAAUUACUGGGCGUAAAGCGUGCGCAGGCGGUUUGCUAAGACAGAUGUGAAAUCCCCGGGCUUAACCUGGGAACUGCGUUUGUAACUGGCAAGCUAGAGUGUGGCAGAGGGGGGUGGAAUUCCAAGUGUAGCAGUGAAAUGCGUAGAUAUUUGGAGGAACACCGAUGGCGAAGGCAGCCCCCUGGGCUAACACUGACGCUCAUGCACGAAAGCGUGGGGAGCAAACAGGAUUAGAUACCCUGGUAGUCC